rnacentral:rRNA from 1 species
GAUGAACGCUGACAGAAUGCUUAAUACAUGCAAGUCAACUUGAAUUUGGGUUUUUAACUUAGGUUUGGGUGGCGGACGGGUGAGUAACGCGUAAAGAACUUGCCUCACAGCUAGGGACAACAUUUGGAAACGAAUGCUAAUACCUAAUAUUAUGAUAAUAGGGCAUCCUAUAAUUAUGAAAGCUAUAAGCGCUGUGAGAGAGCUUUGCGUCCCAUUAGCUAGUUGGAGAGGUAACGGCUCACCAAGGCGAUGAUGGGUAGCCGGCCUGAGAGGGUGAUCGGCCACAAGGGGACUGAGACACGGCCCUUACUCCUACGGGAGGCAGCAGUGGGGAAUAUUGGACAAUGGACCGAGAGUCUGAUCCAGCAAUUCUGUGUGCACGAUGAAGUUUUUCGGAAUGUAAAGUGCUUUCAGUUGGGAAGAAACAAAUGACGGUACCAACAGAAGAAGUGACGGCUAAAUACGUG